AGAGUUUGAUCCUGGCUCAGAACUAACGCUGGCGGCGCGUCUUAAACAUGCAAGUCAAGCGGAUAUAGCAAUAUAUUAGCGGCGAACGGGUGAGUAAUACAUGGGUAACCUACCUCUAAGUUGGGGAUAACAUUCCGAAAGGAAUGCUAAUACCGAAUGUGUCCAACAAUACACAAGGAUAGUUGGGUAAAGUAGCAAUACGCUUAGAGAUGGGCCCAUGCCUGAUUAGCUAGUUGGUAGGGUAAAAGCCUACCAAGGCGACGAUCAGUAGCCGGCCUGAG
rnacentral:rRNA from 1 species